UACUGAUGAUUCAGCCUCCAGCCCACAAAUUCGAGUGACAGGAUCUUGCCAUGUUACCUAGACUGGACUUGCACUCUUCUUGCCUCAGACAUUUUCUCCAGCAAGCACACGUGUCCUAUAGCAAAAAU